rnacentral:rRNA from 1 species
CAAUAGCGUAUAUUAAAGUUGUUGCGGUAAAAAAGCUCGUAGUUGGAUUUCUACCGAAGAUAGCCGGUCGGGUCUUCGACCUUGUAUCUGGUUUUGUCUUUGGUUUCCUCAUAGGGAACGUUUCUGCGCUUUAUUGCGUGGUGCGGUAUCUAUGACUUUUACUUUGAGGAAAUUAGAGUGUUCACGGCAGGCAAACGCCUUGAAUAUAUUAGCAUGGAAUAAUAACAUAGGAUCUUCGUCCUAUUUUGUUGGUUUCUAGGGCUAAGAUAAUGAUUAAUAGGGAUAAUUGGGGGCAUCUGUAUCAACGCGUCAGAGGUGGAAUUCUUGGAUUGCGUUGCGACAAACUACUGCGAAAGCAUUUGCCAAGGAUGUUUUCAUUGA